UACGUAGGGUGCAAGCGUUGUCCGGAAUUACUGGGCGUAAAGCGAGUGUAGGCGGUUUGGUAAGUCGGAUGUGAAAGCCCCGGGCUCAACCCGGGAAGUGCACUCGAUACUGCCAAGCUAGAGUAUCGGAGAGGUUGGUGGAAUUCUCGGUGUAGAGGUGAAAUUCGUAGAUAUCGAGAGGAACACCGGUGGCGAAGGCGGCCAACUGGACGAAUACUGACGCUGAGACUCGAAAGCGUGGGGAGCAAACAGG
rnacentral:rRNA from 1 species